GGAAUAUUGGACAAUGGGCGCAAGCCUGAUCCAGCCAUGCCGCGUGAGUGAUGAAGGCCCUAGGGUUGUAAAGCUCUUUCGCCAGGGACGAUAAUGACGGUACCUGGCUAAGAAGCACCGGCUAACUUCGUGCCAGCAGCCGCGGUAAUACGAAGGGGGCUAGCGUUGUUCGGCAUCACUGGGCGUAAAGCGCACGUAGGCGGAUCUUUAAGUCAGAGGUGAAAUCCCAAGGCGCAACCUUGGAGCUGCCUUUGAUACUGGGGAUCUUGAGUCCGGGAGAGGUGAGUGGAACUGCGAGUGUAGAGGUGAAAUUCGUAGAUAUUCGCAAGAACACCAGUGGCGAAGGCGGCUCACUGGCCCGGAACUGACGCUGAGGUGCGAAAGCGUGGGGAGCAAAC
rnacentral:rRNA from 1 species